GGAGAGGUGGCCGAGCGGUUUAAGGCGCCGGUCUUGAAAACCGGUGAAGUGGCAACACUUCCGUGGGUUCGAAUCCCACCCUCUCCG
rnacentral:tRNA from 1 species